rnacentral:lncRNA from 1 species
UAUUCCCCAGGAAGAUGACUUCAGUCAGUCAUUCCAUACCUAGGGUGAGAUCGGGGUAAUCACUCCCAGGAGUUGGUUAGAAGUUGGACUCCCCUCUCUCCUCAAGCCUUAUUCAAUGGUGGCUCCUCCCUGGGCCUGGAGCCUAGGCCCAAUCUUGGGAAAGAAAUUUCUCUGUAGAGUUCACCAGAAACGACGUAAAACUUACAAACCAGAUUUUUUCCUUUGGAAAAGUUGCUAGCUUUUUACCAAGUUCUUUUACACAUCAAAAUAAUUUCUCACUUCUGCAUUAUAUUCACUUCUAAUUUUGAAUUUCUCAUUUGCUCCUCCAUGAGCAUCCGUGGAUCAUGGUU